rnacentral:tRNA from 1 species
CAGAUAUUAGUUUAUAUAAAAUUUUAAUUUUGGAGAUUAAAGAUAGAAGAUUUUCUAUAUCUGA